rnacentral:rRNA from 1 species
UACGGAGGGGGCGAGCGUUAUUCGGAAUUAUUGGGCGUAAAGGGCGCGUAGGCGGCUGUACAAGUCAAAGGUGAAAUCCCUCGGCUCAACUGAGGAACUGCCUUUGAAACUGUACGGCUGGAGGCCGGGAGGGGGUAGCGGAAUUCCCAGUGUAGCGGUGAAAUGCGUAGAUACUGGGAGGAACACCAGUGGCGAAGGCGGCUACCUGGACCGGUUCUGACGCUGAGGCGCGAAAGCGUGGGUAGCAAACAGG